GAUGGAGCCUCCAGGCCUGCCCAGCACCUACUGCCCUGGGACAGGCUCUCUUUCAAGUCAGCUCCUCUGUCCAGGAAGCAUCUGAGAGGCCGUGUGGUCCUGGCCAAGGAGGCAGGCCGUAAGGAGGGCAGGCCCGAGGACCUAGGUGUGGGCACACUCCGUGUGGAGUAGUCUCUGAGGCCAGACCUGCGGUUCCUGUUUCCUAUGCCCUGGGGACCCGGAGAAAGAAGACGGAUGGGCGCUGCAGCGGGGCGGAGCAGGCCUGAGCCCAGCUCGAGGAAAGCUUGCCUUCUCGUCUAGUGUCCCCGUGUUUUACAUAAUUAGAAAUGUGUGUGUGAAAAAAAUUUAAGCAAUUGAAAGGAGCCAGGGUGUGGUGGGAAGAAUUAUUAAAUAAUAAAAAAAAAAUCAAUCCUCAGUUUGGCCUGGCCAGACGAGUGUUUCUCGGCUCAGUAUUUGUUAAAGGGCGUGGCAAACACUAGUGCCGCAUGUGUCACCAAUGGUCACCAGCUCCAGAAGGCAAGUAAGAUGUGAGCGAAUUCCAUGAACACCAGAUGGCUUCAAGGGGCUUCCAGGUAAUUUGAAGGAAAAAAGUUUAAGGACAGAAGAUGAUGCUGAAAAAAUAAAAUCAGCUCUAAACCACCCCAGCAUGCUGGGAGAGCCUGAUGUGCUCCACGAGGAGCCCCCAAAAGCCGAGGGGAACACAGGACACUUCCCCGAAGGCACAGGGGCCUGGUCCUGCCCCUGGGCCACUCCAGGUGCAUGCAUGGGAGGCGAUGGCUGGGCAGCUGUGCAUCCACCUUUAGAGACACUAUCAGGUUUCCAAAGUGGCUGCACCAUUUUACACACCCACCAGCCAGGUGAACUGGGCAUCUCUUCUGCUGGUUCCAUCUGGGUUCACCCAUGGGUGGGCCCCACUCUGCAAGAGGGUCCAUAGGGCUGGACCGUCCAGGUUACUGCUGGCAAUGGUCCUGCUGGUGGCUCUGUCCCUGCUUCAUUCAGGUUGC
rnacentral:lncRNA from 1 species